AAUGAACGUUGGCGGCAUGGAUUAGGCAUGCAAGUCGAGCGAGAAGUGUAGCAAUACACGGAAAGCGGCGGAAGGGAGAGUAAUACGUGGGAAUCUGCCCUUAGACCUGGGAUAGCAGCGGGAAACUGCUGGUAAUACCAGAUAAUGUCUAUGGACCAAAGGUGUGAUUCCGUCUAGGGAUGAGCCCACGUCCUAUUAGCUAGUUGGUAGGGUAAUGGCCUACCAAGGCGAUGAUGGGUAGCGGGUGUGAGAGCAUGACCCGCCUCACUGGGACUGAGACACGGCCCAGACACCUACGGGUGGCUGCAGUCGAGAAUCUUCGGCAAUGGGCGCAAGCCUGACCGAGCGAUGCCGCGUGCGGGAUGGAGGCCUUCGGGUUGUAAACCGCUGUCGAGGGGGAGCAACUUCCAUAGAGUUAUCUUUAUGGAUUGAGUGAUCCCUGGAGGAAGGACGGGCUAAGUUCGUGCCAGCCGCCGCGGUAACAC
rnacentral:rRNA from 1 species